rnacentral:rRNA from 1 species
AUGGCUCAGGAUUAACGCUGGCGGCGUGCCUAAUACAUGCAAGUCGGAUGGUUAGCUUGCUAACCAUGGGCGAACGGGUGAGUAACACGUAGGCAACCUGUCUAAAAGACGAGGAUAACCAUUGGAAACGAUGGAUAAUACUGGAUAGGAUUAUUUAGGGCAUCCUAGAUAAUUUAAAGAUUUAUCACUUUUAGAGGGGCCUGCGGCGCAUUAGCUAGUUGGUAGAGGUAAAGGCCUACCAAGGCGAUGAUGCGUAGCCGGACUGAGAGGUUGAACGGCCACAAUGGGACUGAGAACGGCCCAUACUCCUACGGGAGGCAGCAGUAGGGAAUUUUCGGCAAUGGGCGGAAGCCUGACCGAAGCAACGCCGCGUGAACGAAGAAGUAUUUCGGUAUGUAAAGUUCUUUUAUUUGGGAAGAAAAGACAGAUUGACUGUACCAAAUGAAUAAGCUCCGGCUAACUACGUGCCAGCCGCUGC